rnacentral:tRNA from 1 species
AUUUAUGUAGUUUAUUAAAACAUUACAUUUUCAAUGUAAAAAUAAAAUUUUAAUUUUUAUAAAUA